rfam:Gossypium hirsutum cultivar TM-1 unplaced genomic scaffold scaffold251.1, whole genome shotgun sequence
UGUUAAAAUUUCAUCCAUUUAUACUAUUAACUAUUGACAUGAUUAACAGAAUAACCAAACAGUGAUACAUGUCAUGCCACAUAUAUUUCAUGCCAAUGAACAGGGAAUAAUUUUUAAUAAUAAAAAUGGAUGAAUUUUUUAAUA